UUAAAUUCCCCUGUCUCCCAGUGUUCAGUGUCAGUUCGUCUUGUCUCUUGCCAUGGUCAGGUCUAUGCUCUCUGUGCUCUUGAAAAGUGUUGUUCCUCACUACGUGAGCGCUUUCAUUUUGUUCUCAAUUUUUGUCAUCUCAACUUGAGAUUUGAUAGUGACUUUUUUUUGUUCAUCUUGCUGUAUUUUGGAAAAAUAAAGUAUCUUACCAAUACUUUA